GCGCGUUUGGCCGAGUGGUUAAGGCGGCAGAUUUAAGUUCUUUUUGCAAAAACCCUGCUGGGGAGACCCGCGCAGGUUCGAACCCUGCAGCGCGCA
rfam:Penicillium steckii strain IBT 24891 PENSTE_contig003, whole genome shotgun sequence.